GAUGAACGCUGGCGGCGUGCCUAAUACAUGCAAGUCGAGCGAACAGAUGAGGAGCUUGCUCCUCUGACGUUAGCGGCGGACGGGUGAGUAACACGUGGAUAACCUACCUAUAAGACUGGGAUAACUUCGGGAAACCGGAGCUAAUACCGGAUAAUAUAUUGAACCGCAUGGUUCAAUAGUGAAAGACGGUUUUGCUGUCACUUAUAGAUGGAUCCGCGCCGCAUUAGCUAGUUGGUAAGGUAACGGCUUACCUAGGCAACGAUGCGUAGCCGACCUGAGAGGGUGAUCGGCCACACUGGAACUGAGACACGGUCCAGACUCCUACGGGAGGCAGCAGUAGGGAAUCUUCCGCAAUGGGCGAAAGCCUGACGGAGCAACGCCGCGUGAGUGAUGGAGGUCUUCGGAUCGUAAAACUCUGUUAUUAGGGAAGAACAAAUGUGUAAGUAACUAUGCACGUCUUGACGGUACCUAAUCAGAAAGCCACGGCUAACUACGUG
rnacentral:rRNA from 1 species